rnacentral:rRNA from 1 species
CGGGACACGUGGUAUCCUGUCUGAAUAUGGGGGGACCAUCCUCCAAGGCUAAAUACUCCUGACUGACCGAUAGUGAACCAGUACCGUGAGGGAAAGGCGAAAAGAACCCCGGCGAGGGGAGUGAAAAAGAACCUGAAACCGUGUACGUACAAGCAGUGGGAGCACGCUUAGGCGUGUGACUGCGUACCUUUUGUAUAAUGGGUCAGCGACUUAUAUUCUGUAGCAAGGUUAACCGAAUAGGGGAGCCGAAGGGAAACCGAGUCUUAACUGGGCGUUAAGUUGCAGGGUAUAGACCCGAAACCCGGUGAUCUAGCCAUGGGCAGGUUGAAGGUUGGGUAACACUAACUGGAGGACCGAACCGACUAAUGUUGAAAAAUUAGCGGAUGACUUGUGGCUGGGGGUGAAAGGCCAAUCAAACCGGGAGAUAGCUGGUUCUCCCCGAAAGCUAUUUAGGUAGCGCCUCGUGAAUUCAUCUCCGGGGGUAGAGCACUGUUUCGGCAAGGGGGUCAUCCCGACUUACCAACCCGAUGCAAACUGCGAAUACCGGAGAAUGUUAUCACGGGAGACACACGGCGGGUGCUAACGUCCGUCGUGAAGAGGGAAACAACCCAGACCGCCAGCUAAGGUCCCAAAGUCAUGGUUAAGUGGGAAACGAUGUGGGAAGGCCCAGACAGCCAGGAUGUUGGCUUAGAAGCAGCCAUCAUUUAAAGAAAGCGUAAUAGCUCACUGGUCGAGUCGGCCUGCGCGGAAGAUGUAACGGGGCUAAACCAUGCACCGAAGCUGCGGCAGCGACACUAUGUGUUGUUGGGUAGGGGAGCGUUCUGUAAGCCUGUGAAGGUGUACUGUGAGGUAUGCUGGAGGUAUCAGAAGUGCGAAUGCUGACAUAAGUAACGAUAAAGCGGGUGAAAAGCCCGCUCGCCGGAAGACCAAGGGUUCCUGUCCAACGUUAAUCGGGGCAGGGUGAGUCGACCCCUAAGGCGAGGCCGAAAGGCGUAGUCGAUGGGAAACAGGUUAAUAUUCCUGUACUUGGUGUUACUGCGAAGGGGGGACGGAGAAGGCUAUGUUGGCCGGGCGACGGUUGUCCCGGUUUAAGCGUGUAGGCUGGUUUUCCAGGCAAAUCCGGAAAAUCAAGGCUGAGGCGUGAUGACGAGGCACUACGGUGCUGAAGCAACAAAUGCCCUGCUUCCAGGAAAAGCCUCUAAGCAUCAGGUAACAUCAAAUCGUACCCCAAACCGACACAGGUGGUCAGGUAGAGAAUACCAAGGCGCUUGAGAGAACUCGGGUGAAGGAACUAGGCAAAAUGGUGCCGUAACUUCGGGAGAAGGCACGCUGAUAUGUAGGUGAAGUCCCUCGCGGAUGGAGCUGAAAUCAGUCGAAGAUACCAGCUGGCUGCAACUGUUUAUUAAAAACACAGCACUGUGCAAACACGAAAGUGGACGUAUACGGUGUGACGCCUGCCCGGUGC